rnacentral:rRNA from 1 species
UACGAAGGGUGCAAGCGUUAAUCGGAAUUACUGGGCGUAAAGCGUGCGUAGGCGGUUGUUUAAGUCUGCUGUGAAAUCCCCGGGCUCAACCUGGGAAUGGCAGUGGAUACUGGACAGCUAGAGUGUGUCAGAGGAUGGUGGAAUUCCCGGUGUAGCGGUGAAAUGCGUAGAGAUCGGGAGGAACAUCAGUGGCGAAGGCGACUCACUGGACACAUAUUGACGCUGAGGUGCGAAAGCGUGGGGAGCAAACAGG